AAGCCCUUGGAUUAUGAGCUCAGAGUUACAGCUGCACCGUAAUAUCCUGUGAUGCCUUUUCCAGGAUGCCAGGCCCCCAGGACUCCUCACAGAGCCAGUCAACCCCCAGUGCCCCAGCGCCCCACCACACUGCGUCACUCUCUGUGACAAAUGACACUCAUCUUGGACAAAGCUCGGCCUUAAAAUGUUCAAGAGAGAAAAAUCCGGGUAAGAUUCUGACGGGGAUGAAGUGACUGAUCCUUCCUGAGAGUUUCUAUCUCCGCGAGGGGAGGCUUCGGAUUAAAGCCUCGGUCCUGAAGACAUGGGGCAUUGUGCUUCCUGCUGCUGUCACUGGAAACCAGAGUCUGUGGCUUAAGCUUAUUUUUUCUCUUUAAGCUCCCGGCACGUAUUUUGCUUGAGAGUGUUUUACAAAGCGAAGAUAUUUAUUUCCUGAGUUACGGGAAAUCUGCCCGCCUCUGAGUGACCUGCUUCGGGAGAAGGUAAAGAAGGAAGCCCAGGCUGUGCACACGAGGCUGCUGAGCCCUCGGGCGGCCCAGACACCACCUCGGGGCUGAAAUUUGAGUCUGCUCAGUGGCCCACUGGAGAUCAUUCUUACCUCGUGGGUAUGACUGCACUGUUUUUGUCAAGAGUUAUAGACGCCACUGGUCAGUGACAUCCCAAGUCCAGGAGUGGGGCCUCGAGACCCCUUGUCCUUCUCCCCCAGGCUCACACUCUCCCAAGUCAGGGUUCAGGUUUGCCUGGGUGGACACUCCCCUACGUCGGCACCUCCAGCUGCCUGGCUCAGCACCCACUGUCUCUGGGCCUCAGUUUCCCUCUCUACAGGCAAGACGGGAACAUCCACGUCUCGACUUGGUUUCAAGGUCACUGUGAGAACCAAAUGGCAUUGCAGGCUGUGGAAGGCGCUUGAAGCAGAGCUGAGCGCCAGCUGUCCAGCAAGCAGCCAGGCUGAGGCGCGGCAGGAGCCGGCUUGGGCAGCCUUCCUGUCGGAAAGCUUCCUCGGACAGUCCAGGAGUGAAGUGGCUGUAGGAGGGGGUCUGUUAAGUCCCAGGAAACGCCGUGGCUUUGACAAACCCAUGGAAGGUCUGCGGCGGUGAGUUUGUCUGCACUGCUUGUUCCUUGAUUUUUGUUAGUAUCACACACAGAGCAGUGCACAGAGCAUAAGGCGGGGGCUAGCCAGUUACCAC
rnacentral:lncRNA from 13 species